rnacentral:rRNA from 1 species
UAAUACGGAGGGAGCUAGCGUUGUUCGGAAUUACUGGGCGUAAAGGGCGUGCAGGCUGUUUGGCAAGUCAGAGGUGAAAUCCCUAAGCUCAACUUAGGAACUGCCUUUGAUACUGCCUUGCUAGAGAAUAAGAAAAGUUAGCGGAAUUCCAAGUGUAGAGGUGAAAUUCGUAGAUAUUUGGAAGAACACCAGUGGCGAAAGCGGCUAACUGGCUUAUUUCUGACGCUGAGACGCGAAAGCGUGGGUAGCAAACAGGAUUAGAUACCCUGGUAGUCCACGCCGUAAACGAUGAGUGCUAGCCGUUUGUAUUUUAUAUACAAGUGGUGCAGCUAACGCGUUAAGCACUCCGCCUGGGGAGUACGAUCGCAAGAUUA